rnacentral:lncRNA from 1 species
AUUCAAUCAAAUUUCAUAGGUUUAACAACAACAUUUUCAUCAUUCACACAAUUCAAUCAAAUUUCAUAGGUUUAACAACAACACUUUCAUCAUUCCCAUAAUUCAAUCAAAUUUCAUGGGUUUAACAUCAUCAUUUUCGUCAUUCACACAGUUCAAUCAAAUUUCAUGGGUUUAACAUCAACAUUUCAUCAUUUCCACAAUUCAAUCAAAUUUCAUAGGUUUAACAACAACAUUUUCAUCAUUCACACAAUUCAAUCAAAUUUUAUAGGUUUAACAACAACAUUUUCAUCAUCCCCAUAAUUCAACCAAAUUUCAUGGGUUUAAUUAACAACAACAUUUUCAUCAUUCCCACAAUUCAAUCAAAUUUCAUGGGUUUAUCAUCAACAUUUUCAUGAUUCCCACAAUUCAAUCAAAUUUCAUCGGUUUAACAACAACAUUUCUAUCAUUCACACAAUUCAAUCAAAAUUCAUGUGUUUAAUAACAAUAUUUCCGUUAUUCCCACAAUUCAAUCAAAUUUCAUGGGUUUAACAACAACAUUUUCAUUUUUCACACAAUUCAAUCAAAUUUCUUGGGUUUAACAUCAACAUUUCAUCAUUUCCACCAUUCAAUAAAUUUCAUAGAUUUAACAACAAAAUUUUCAUCAUUCCCACAAUUCAAUCAAAAUUCAUGGGUUUAACAUCAUCAUUUUCAUCAUUAACACAGUUCAAUCAAAUUUCAUGGGUUUACCAUCAACAUUUCAUCAUUUCCACAAUUCAAUCAAAUUUCAUAGGUUUAACAACAACAUUUUCAUCAUUCACACAAUUCAUUCAAAUUUCAUGGGUUUAACAUUAUCAUUUUCAUCAUUCACACAGUUCAAUCAAAUUUCAUGGGUUUAACAUCAACAUUUCAUCAUUUCCACAAUUCAAUCAAAUUUCAUGGUUUUAACAACAAUAUUUUCAUUUAAUCACACAAUUCAAUCAAAUUUCAUGGGUUUAACAUCAACAUUUUCAUCAUUCCCACAAUUCAAUCAAAAUUCAUGUGUUUAAUAACAACAUUUCCAUUAUUCCCACAAUUCAAUCAAAUUUCAUGGGUUUAAAUUCAUGUGUUUAAUAACAACAUUUCCAUUAUUCCCACAAUUCAAUCAAAUUUCAUGGGUUUAACAACAACAUUUUCAUUUUUCACACAAUUCAAUCAAAUUUCUUGGGUUUAACAUCAACAUUUCGUCAUUUCCACCAUUCAAUCAAAUUUCAUAGGUUUAACAACAACAUUUUCAUCAUUCACAUAAUUCAUUCAAAUUUCAUGGGUUUAACAUUAUCACUUUCAUCAUUCACACAGUUCAAUCAAAUGUCAUGGGUUUAACAUCAACAUUUCAUCGUUUCCACAAUUCAAUCAAAUUUCAUAGGUUUAACAACAACAUUUUCAAUAUUCACACAAUUCAAUCAAAUUUCAUAGGUUUAACAACAACCUUUUCAUCAUUCCCAUAAUUUAAUCAAAUUUCAUCGGUUUAACAUCAACAUUUUCAUCGUUCACACAAUUCAAUUAGAUUUUAAGGGUUUAACAAAAUAAUUUUUAUUAUUCAUAUAUUUCAAUCAAAUUUCAGGGUUUUAACAACAAUAUUUUCAUUUAAUCACACAAUUCAAUCAAAUUUUAUGGGUUUAACAUCAUCAUUUUCAUCAUUCCCACAAUUCAAUCAAAUUUCCUGUUUUUAACGUCAUCACUUUUAUCAUUCACACAAUUCAAUCGAAUUUCAUGGGUUUAACAUCAACAUUUCAUCAUUUCAACAAUUCAAUCAAAUUUCAUAGGUUUAACAACAACAUUUUCAUCAUUUACACAAUUCAAUAAAAUUUUAUAGGUUUAACAACAACAUUUUCAUCAUCCCCAUAAUUCAACCAAAUUUCAUGGGUUAAACAACAACAUU